GCAACGAUGGUCCAGAGGUAUGAUUUUCGCCUGCCACGCGGAAGACCCGGGUUCGAUUCCCGGUCGUUGCA
rnacentral:tRNA from 5 species